CUGUCUGCUCUGGAGCUACCAUCUGAUCCCAGCAAGACAGUAUAUAUUCUGCCGGCAUCCACCAUAAGAUGGUCGUGGCUUACCAGUGAUGUCCAGGUCCCUUGCUCCCUUGGCAGCUACAUGGAGUCUUCUUUGAGACCCUCUGUUGUCCCGCGCGAUCGUCUCGCCAGCAAGAACGACACAGGACACUCGGAUCCUUCUGCAGUAAAGCUUUAAUGCAUCUUGAGAGAGAGAGAGAGAGCAUAAGCUUACAGAGCGGAGACCCUGAACUCCCAAGAACCCAUCCCUUAUAAAGGCUGGCAACUGCCACCUCGGACGUGUUACCCCCUGACUCGCUGCAGCUCAUCGGACCAUAUGACGCCACGGAAGAGGCAGAGACCAAGGGAUGGAAAGUUACCCAGCGCCUGCGCACUAACUUGUUUACAUUCGGUGCCUGCCGGAUGCAGGCGCCAUCUUGUAAUGGAGAAUGCAGGGACGGCUCCCUACACUCUGUGUUCCUCUUCCCCGAAUUUCCCUAGUCUUGUAGCCCCACCUAUACUUCCUGCCUGUCUAGAUCCUGUCUGUCCAUUGGCCAAAACAGCUUUAUUCAUCAACCAAUAAGAGAAACGUAUGUUCACAGCAUAUAGAAGGACAUCAUCAUCCCCCAUCAUCUCUUUAGUUACAUUUCAGAUGAUCACUCAUCUUCUGUCUGCCUACAGAUUGAUCUGCAUAUGCCUCCUGUGUCUCCCAGAUGCUAUUGCUGUCAUUCUAGGGCAAGUAGCAGUAUAGUAUAGCCUUGGAGGGGGAGGGCUCUGGUAACAGAUGGCUUAGACCUGAGUCCCUGUUCUUUCUAGGGAAGUUCCUUAAACUUCCCAUGUCUGUUUCCUUACCUACAAAAUAUGGUGAUGAUGCUAAUAAUCUCUACCUCACAGGUUGGUAUGAGGUGGUUGCCCCUGACAUAUAAUAAAUAAUAAGGCCCUGGGAAGCAAUGUCCCAGAUUAAAUGUCACCAUCUGUACCUUCACUUUGCUUCUGGAAGUCACUCUCACAGUCACUCUUUGGUGACCUGGUUCAAAGGAACUCAUUUACCCUGAACCUUAUCACCUUAGUUAGCUGCUGCCUUAGCUCUCUAGCUCCUCUCUGUUCAUUGAAUUGUGACGAGUUUUAGUUCCUUGGCUGAGCUGUCUCUUUUCCUUUCUGACUGGCAACCCCAGCUGGAGUACCUUUCUUCUCUCUUGUGCUUGUGUCAUUUAAGCUUCUCUUGACAACACUUUCAACCCUUUUGCCUAUUUAUGAUGCAGUGUCAAAUUCUGGAUAAAUCUAGUAGAAUUGUCUUUGCUUUCGUUCUUGUGUCACCGAAACUAGAAGGGAGUCCAGAAUAUGGCAGAUUGAUGUCAUCAGAAACAUUGGGGUUCUUUAAUCCUUAUAGAUCCUAAAGCCCACAGGUGGCCCUCCUUAUGUGCCUUUAGUAGCUUCCUUUCCUACUUCCUACACCAAAUUGUCCCAACUUUCCUCAUCUUUCUCAUACAUCCUACCCUGGAUGUUUCCUUUACCAAACCUGGAUGGUGUGAACAAUAUGUAUUCCUACCAUUGAUUUUCCAGAAUACUUUCCUCUGUACCCUUAUUUCUUUCAAUUUUUUCCCCUCCCACAGUGCAAAAUUAGUUCCUUGGCUGGGGUAGUAGUUCCCGUCUGUUCACAUGGCUGAUGAUAGUCUAAUUCCGUGAUGACCUUUAUGACUACACAGUCAUCUGAUGCCCAGCAAGGUUGAGGAACUGGAACCUCUAGAGUUUCUACACUAAGGGGCUCUUGCCCUGUAGGCGCCACAGAUGUGCUUGCUGAAAACAUAACCAGCAGAGGGCACUGUACAGCCAGGACAUAUCUCAGGCUUGUCACAUGCUGUGGAACAUUUGGCAGAGCUUUUUGAAUGCAGCUCUAAGAGCACACUAUUACAACCACAUCAUUUUACUGGAAAGUUAUUAGUCUCUUCAUGGAAUAUCAGAAGGUUUUAAAGUCCUGACAUCAGAGGAUGGAGGUGACAGAGCAAAAAAUGAAAAAAAAUUCAUUUGUCACUUAAAAUUGCCACAUGGUAGGAAUGCCACUAGAAAAGAGAAGACCCUCACUGCAGAUCAUCAAAAACAGACACAAGAGUCCUCAUCCAGUGGCUGAUGGAAGCAGAGACAGACAUCCACAGAAAUACACUGAGCUGAAAUCUGGAACCUAGUUGAAGAGAGGAAGGAAUGAAGAACGAAGGGGUCUAUACCAGGUUGGAGAAACCCACAGAAACAGUUGGCCCGAAAAAGGGAAAGCAUAUCGACCCCAGACGCUCUUUGGGAGGCCAGUACGGGACUAAUCCAGCCCCCUCAUCAUGGAUGCCAAUGGGGAGGCCCCUGCACUCCUGGGAGCUUCCGGAGGUGGACUGGCGUUUUGCCCUGGCCCUCCCAGAUUCACUGCCACCCAAUGGUGGGAGCAAGAUCAAAAAUGACAACUGAAGCUAGUGUGGACUUGAG
rnacentral:lncRNA from 1 species